rnacentral:lncRNA from 1 species
CUUCCACUGAGGUUAUCAGAGUCUUCUCUGGCCACCUGCAUAUUCUCAGUGUGAAACAGAAAUCACGUGUAGGGCAGAGUUACCAAACUGCAGUGGAACUGUACUUGAAAGACUUCGAAGUGAGGAAGGAGUUAAUCAUUGCAAAAUAGUCAUUUCCUGAGCCCUCUGGUUGGAUGAGUAAAAACUUUCAACUAUUUCUAUUUCUUCUGUGUCAUUUAAGAGGCUUUCAAGGUGCACUGUACCUCUCAGACCAGCUCUUACUCAUAGAGGAAAUCUGAUCUGCUGCAGCACGGAAACAUCAGCGGUGAGAUGGCGAGACAAAUUCCUUAGGGAACUGCCUGUUUUCAAGCCAAGUUUUCAUGAUACGAUCCAGCUGGCUUACAGGGAU